rnacentral:rRNA from 1 species
UACGUAUGGAGCAAGCGUUAUCCGGAUUUACUGGGUGUAAAGGGAGCGUAGGCGGUAAGGCAAGUCUGAUGUGAAAGGCCAGGGCUCAACCCUGGGACUGCAUUGGAAACUGUUUAACUGGAGUGUCGGAGAGGCAAGUGGAAUUCCUAGUGUAGCGGUGAAAUGCGUAGAUAUUAGGAAGAACACCAGUGGCGAAGGCGGAUGACUGGACGACAACUGACGGUGAGGCGCGAAAGCGUGGGGAGCAAACAGG